CAUUUACUUUUCUCAUAUAUUUUUUCUUUAAAAAGUUUUAUAAAUCGAUCUCCUCUUUCAAACAACUCGAUCGAUAACGUUUAGAUGAGAACCACUGCGACGAAGCAGAUUAUCCUAUAAAGGAGUAGACUGACCUGACAAACGCAGCUGUCCUUGGCCUCGCAAAAAGCCAAAAUUAGAAAUGGCACUUAGUAACUCGGAGAAAGAGAUUAGAGAAGGCAUAUACAGAAAGAAAGAGAUGAGAAGUGCCUGAAAGCCUGCUGUACAGUUGUCUCGAACGGAAAUGGGAUAAUGUAAUUGUCUCUCCUAUCAGUAGGGGAUUACUCAGUUCUCUA